AGAGUUUGAUCAUGGCUCAGAACGAACGCUGGCGGCAGGCUUAACACAUGCAAGUCGAACGCAUCCUUCGGGGUGAGUGGCAGACGGGUGAGUAACGCGUGGGAACGUGCCCUUCAGUUCGGAAUAACCCAGGGAAACUUGGGCUAAUACCGGAUACGUGCGAGAGCAGAAAGAUUUAUCGCUGAAGGAUCGGCCCGCGUCUGAUUAGCUAGUUGGUGAGGUAAUGGCUCACCAAGGCGACGAUCAGUAGCUGGUCUGAGAGGAUGAUCAGCCACAUUAGGACUGAGACACGGCCCAAACUCCUACGGGAGGCAGCAGUGGGGAAUAUUGGACAAUGGGCGCAAGCCUGAUCCAGCCAUGCCGCGUGAGUGAUGAAGGCCUUAGGGUUGUAAAGCUCUUUCGUCCGGGACGAUAAUGACGGUACCGGAAGAAGAAGCCCCGGCUAACUUCGUGCCAGCAGCCGCGGUAAUACGAAGGGGGCUAGCGUUGUUCGGAAUCACUGGGCGUAAAGGGCGCGUAGGCGGCUUGAUAAGUCGGGGGUGAAAGCCUGUGGCUCAACCACAGAAUUGCCUUCGAUACUGUCUGGCUUGAGACCGGAAGAGGUAAGUGGAACUGCGAGUGUAGAGGUGAAAUUCGUAGAUAUUCGCAAGAACACCAGUGGCGAAGGCGGCUUACUGGUCCGGUUCUGACGCUGAGGCGCGAAAGCGUGGGGAGCAAACAGGAUUAGAUACCCUAGUAGUCC
rnacentral:rRNA from 1 species